rnacentral:tmRNA from 1 species
GGGGGCGAUCGGUUUCGACUUGGGACGGUAGUCGCAAGGGAAGCGGGCCGAGAAUCCAUGCUCAUCUCGUAAACGCCGCAUGGAAACUAAUAAGUGCCAACAAGAACAGCACUGACUUCGCUCUCGCUGCCUGAUCAGCGAUCGAAGGGUCAGCCCGGACGAGCCUUCGGUCCGGAAUCUGGCCUCGUUUAGAGGGCUUGCUGCCUAGCCUGCGUGUCAGGGGCUAGGCGGGACUUCACUGAUACUGGGUCUGUUGGCGACGUGCUGAUGUGAGUGCCAAGACCAAGAACAACGCCAUCAUCAGCUGCGCCCGGAGAAGACUUGCCUCACCUUUCAAGGACGCGGGUUCGAUUCCCGCCGCCUCCACGG